rnacentral:rRNA from 3 species
UGACCUCAAAUCGGGUGAGACUACCCGCUGAACUUAAGCAUAU